rnacentral:rRNA from 1 species
UAAGCGGCGGACGGGUGAGUAACGCGUGGGUAACCUACCCUGUACACACGGAUAACAUACCGAAAGGUAUGCUAAUACGGGAUAAUAUAUUUGAGAGGCGUCUCUUAAAUAUCAAAGGUGAGCCAGUACAGGAUGGACCCGCGUCUGAUUAGCUAGUUGGUAAGGUAACGGCCUACCAAGGCGACGAUCAGUAGCCGACCUGAGAGGGUGAUCGGCCACAUUGGAACUGAGACACGGUCCAA